UAAAAAUUUAAUUUAAAAUAUUUAAGUAGUAUUAGUUAAGAUCUUUAAAUUUAAAAAAUUUGGCGGUAUUUUAGUCUAUUCAGAGGAACCUGUUUUUUAAUCGAUAGUCCACGAUGAAUCUUACUUAAAUUUGUUUUUAGUUUAUAUAUCGUCGUUAAAAGAAUAUUUUAUAAGAAUAAUAAUUUUCUUAAUUUUUUAAUUUAAAAUAUAUCAGAUCAAGAUGUAGCUUAUGUUUAAGUUUAUAAUGGGUUACAAUUAUUAUAUUAUUGGAAAUUAAUAUGUAAUUUAUUAUUUGAAAUUGGAUUUGAUAGUAAAUUUAUAAAGAUUAAUGAAUUGAUUAUAGCUCUAAAAUAUG
rnacentral:rRNA from 1 species